UAGAAGAAUGCAAAUUGAUC
rnacentral:piRNA from 1 species